rnacentral:ncRNA from 2 species
GAAUCAUACAGGGGGAGCUCGCCGCAGCGGGCUGAGAGGAGGCUUUGUCGCUUCGACCCACAACCUGAUUUGGAUAAUGCCAACGUAGGGACAGCAUCGUAUUUUAUGG